UCCUGGUUAACCCAGGCAGUCUCGCUAGAGUGCCCGACAUUACUCGCUGGCAACUAACGACAAGGGUUGCGCUCGUUGCGGGACUUAACCCAACACCUCACGGCACGAGCUGACGACAGCCAUGCAGCACCUGUUCAAGUGUUCCUUGCGGAAACACGACAUUUCUGCCGCUGUCACUUGUAUGUCAAGCCUAGGUAAGGUUCUUCGCGUUGCAUCGAAUUGAACCACAUGCUCCACUGCUUGUGCGGGUCCCCGUCAAUUCUUUUGAGUUUCAGCCUUGCGACUGUACUCCCCAGGCGGUAUACUUAACGCGUUCGCUACGGCACAGCAGGGGUUGAGGCCUGCUACGCCAAGUAUACAUAGUUUAAGGUUAGGACUAC
rnacentral:misc_RNA from 1 species